GCGAAAACUUUACACUGCGGGAAACCGCGAUAAGGGGACCCCGAGUGCCAGCACCUAGUGCUGGCUGUCCAGCUGUUCAAAAAACAGUUGUUAGCAAGGGCCGGGCAAGACCGGUGCCAGCCGCCGCGGUAACACCGGCGGCCCGAGUGGUAGCCGUUAUUAUUGGGUUUAAAGGGUCCGUAGCCGGCUUAUUAAGUCUCUUGGGAAAUCUGGCGACUCAAUCGUCAGGCGUUCAAGAGAUACUGCCAGGCUUGGAACCGGGAGAGGUAAGAGGUACUACAGGGGUAGGAGUGAAAUCUUGUAAUCCCUGUGGGACCACCUGUGGCGAAGGCGUCUUACCAGAACGGGUUCGACGGUGAGGGACGAAAGCUGGGGGCACGAACCGAAUUAGAUACCCGGGUAGUCCCAGCCGUAAACGAUGCUCGCUAGGUGUCAGGCAUGGCGCGACCGUGUUUGGUGCCGCAGGGAAGCCGUGAAGCGAGCCACCUGGGAAGUACGGCCGCAAGGCUGAAACU
rnacentral:rRNA from 1 species